rnacentral:rRNA from 1 species
CCUACGGGGGGCAGCAGUAGGGAAUAUUGCUCAAUGGCGGAAACCCUGAAGCAGCAACGCCGCGUGGAGGAUGAAGGUUUUCGGAUUGUAAACUCCUUUUUUUAGAGAAGAUAAUGACUGUAUCUAACGAAUAAUCACCGGCUAACUCCGUUCCAGCAGCCGCGGUAAUACGGAGGGUGCCAGCGUUACUCGGAAGCACUGGGCGUAAAGAGCGCGUAGGCGGGUUAGCAAGUCAGAUGUGAAAUCCUAUGGCUUAACCAUAGGACUGCAUUUGGAACUGUUAUUCUUGAGGAUGGGGGAGGCAGGUGGAAGUCUUGGUGUAGGGGGGAAAUGCGUAGAGAUCAAGAGGAAUCCGCAGUGCGAAGGCAGCCUGCUAGA